UACGUAGGGUACGAGCGUUGUCCGGAAUUAUUGGGCGUAAAGAGCUCGUAGGUGGUUGGUCACGUCUGCUGUGGAAACGCAACACUUAACGUUGCGCGGGCAGUGGGUACGGGCUGACUAGAGUGCAGUAGGGGAGUCUGGAAUUCCUGGUGUAGCGGUGAAAUGCGCAGAUAUCAGGAGGAACACCGGUGGCGAAGGCGGGACUCUGGGCUGUGACUGACACUGAGGCUCGAAAGCGUGGGGAGCAAACAGGAUUAGAUACCCU
rnacentral:rRNA from 1 species